rnacentral:lncRNA from 1 species
CGACAAGGGUGUUCCCGAACUAGAGUGGGGCAUACAUAAUCUUGCUGCUAUGCUUCGAAGCUGUAGUCUGAAUCAACCUAAGUUUUAAACAGAAGGUGAACCUCUGAGAAAAUCAAGUAUAUUUUAAAAGAAGGGAUGUGGGAUCAAGGAGGACAGCCUUGGCAGCAGUGGCCCUUGAACCAGCAACAAUGGAUGCAGUCAUUCCAGCACCAACAGGAUCCAAGCCAGAUUGAUUGGGCUGCAUUGGCCCAAGCUUGGAUUGCCCAAAGAGAAGCUUCAGGACAGCAAAGCAUGGUAGAACAACCACCAGGAAUGAUGCCAAAUGGACAAGAUAUGUCUACAAUGGAAUCUGGUCCAAACAAUCAUGGGAAUUUCCAAGGGGAUUCAAACUUCAACAGAAUGUGGCAACCAGAAUGGGGAAUGCAUCAGCAACCCCCACACCCCCCUCCAGAUCAGCCAUGGAUGCCACCAACACCAGGCCCAAUGGACAUUGUUCCUCCUUCUGAAGACAGCAACAGUCAGGACAGUGGGGAAUUUGCCCCUGACAACAGGCAUAUAUUUAACCAGAACAAUCACAACUUUGGUGGACCACCCGAUAAUUUUGCAGUGGGGCCAGUGAACCAGUUUGACUAUCAGCAUGGGGCUGCUUUUGGUCCACCGCAAGGUGGAUUUCAUCCUCCUUAUUGGCAACCAGGACCUCCAGGACCUCCAGCACCUCCCCAGAAUCGAAGAGAAAGGCCAUCAUCAUUCAGGGAUCGUCAGCGUUCACCUAUUGCACUUCCUGUGAAGCAGGAGCCUCCACAAAUUGACGCAGUAAAACGCAGGACUCUUCCCGCUUGGAUUCGCGAAGGUCUUGAAAAAAUGGAACGUGAAAAGCAGAAG